UGGAGAAUUGAGGGGGGCUGCUCCUAGUACGAGAGGACCGGAGUGGACGCAUCACUGGUGUUCGGGUUGUCAUGCCAAUGGCACUGCCCGGUAGCUAAAUGCGGAAGAGAUAAGUGCUGAAAGCAUCUAAGCACGAAACUUGCCCCGAGAUGAUUUCUCCCUGAGACUUUAAGUCUCCUGAAGGAACGUUGAAGACGACGACGUUGAUAGGCCGGGUGUGUAAGCGCAGCGAUGCGUUGAGCUAACCGGUACUAAUGAACCGUGAGGCUUAACCUUA
rnacentral:rRNA from 1 species